GUGUUCUGGCUUCCCAUGUUACUUUAGAGGAAUCAUGCCAGUCUGAUCUUCAUUUCUUUGUUGUGUGGCCUGGUCUUUCUCUGGGCCAAGCAAGGGUCAUGAACAUAUUCAAGAUCCCGGAAUAACCUGUCAUGGAUAGAGACCAACGUCUCACCGCCCCCCACCCCCCACCCCCAGCCAGCUUCUGCUGAGCUGCAGAAGCCUGUGGACCUACUCUAUGUUGCAACCUGAACAAAGGAAUUCAAGGUCAGAUCCAAGCUAGGAAAGGGGAGAAGACGUCAAUUGCAUGAAAGAUUGAAGAUUAGAUUUGGCAGGACUCUUUAAUAAAAUCUCCUAAAAUAGGAGACUCUUUUAAUCUACAGAAGUAUCCAUAAGAGGCUUAGAAUCUGCACAAGAUAUCAUCCAGGUGUGGGUGAAAGGAAAUCUAGCAGAACGACUUUAAAGAAGAUGAAUGGGAAGAAAACCAGGUUGUUCCCUGCUUGCACCUUAUCAAGUAUAACCCAUUUAAUAAACUGAUUACAAGAGCA